GAUGAACGCUGGCGGCGUGCCUAAUACAUGCAAGUCGAGCGAACGGACGAGAAGCUUGCUUCUCUGAUGUUAGCGGCGGACGGGUGAGUAACACGUGGAUAACCUACCUAUAAGACUGGGAUAACUUCGGGAAACCGGAGCUAAUACCGGAUAAUAUUUUGAACCGCAUGGUUCAAAAGUGAAAGACGGUCUUGCUGUCACUUAUAGAUGGAUCCGCGCUGCAUUAGCUAGUUGGUAAGGUAACGGCUUACCAAGGCAACGAUGCAUAGCCGACCUGAGAGGGUGAUCGGCCACUGGAACUGAGACACGGUCCAGACUCCUACGGGAGGCAGCAGUAGGGAAUCUUCCGCAAUGGGCGAAAGCCUGACGGAGCAACGCCGCGUGAGUGAUGAAGGUCUUCGGAUCGUAAAACUCUGUUAUUAGGGAAGAACAUAUGUGUAAGUAACUGUGCACAUCUUGACGGUACCUAAUCAGAAAGCCACGGCUAACUACGUG
rnacentral:rRNA from 1 species